UGGUUCUGGCAUCGAUGAAGAACGCAGCGAAAUGCGAUAAGUAGUGUGAAUUGCAGAAUUCAGUGAAUCAUCGAAUCUUUGAACGCACAUUGCGCCCUUUGGUAUUCCAUGGGGCAUGCCUGUUCGAGCGUCAUUUUGUACUCUCAAGCCUUGCUUGGUGUUGGGUGCUUGUCUAAACCACGUAGACUCGCCUUAAAGAAAUUGGCAGCUAGUAUACCAGUCUGGACGCAGCACAAAUUGCGGCUCAGGCAAGUACGCUGGCAACCACUAAGCCCAUGUUUAUCGCUUGACCUCGGAUCAGGUAGGGAUACCCGCUGA
rnacentral:misc_RNA from 1 species